rnacentral:misc_RNA from 1 species
UCCGGUUUGUCACCGGCAGUCUCAUUAGAGUGCCCAACUGAAUGUAGCAACUAAUGACAAGGGUUGCGCUCGUUGCGGGACUUAACCCAACAUCUCACGACACGAGCUGACGACAGCCAUGCAGCACCUGUGUUCAGGUUCCCUUUCGGGCACAUCCACCUCUCAGCGGACUUCCUGACAUGUCAAGGGUAGGUAAGGUUUUUCGCGUUGCAUCGAAUUAAGCCACAUACUCCACCGCUUGUGCAGGCCCCCGUCAAUUUCUUUGAGUUUUAAUCUUGCGACCGUACUUCCCAGGCGGCAUAUUUAUCGCGUUAGCUGCGGUACUAAGGAAGUCUCCUUCCCCAACACCUAGUCGACAUCGUUUAGGGCGUGGACUAC